UGAAACACCGCUCACAUGUAGCGUUCACUGAUAUAUAUAUAUAUAUAUAUACACACACACACACACACACAUAAAUGCCUCCCAUCCCCCAACCACCGCCAUUUUGUUUUGCUGAUGGAUGUGCACGAAAAAUGUGACCCCGAAAAAGUGUGUGAGUGAGUGUGUGUGUGAGUGAGUGAGUGAGUGUGUGUGUGUGAGUGAGUGAGUGUGUGUGUGAGUGAGUGAGUGAGUGUGUGUGUCUAAAAUGUGAGAGUUUGUACUGUUAGUGUCACUGGAAGUUUUGUUUUCCCUCAGUUCUGUCGUUAACAUAUCAAACCCGAAGCGCGUGCACGGAAUACCGCUAUUUUUUUUCUUUCUUAAACGUACGUGAUGACGUCAUGACGCAGCUAUGGUUACUGGUUUUUCUGUAUCCACGCGUACUUUUUUAGCCACAACAAAGUGCUUCACUUCCGGUGUGUUGGAGAAAUGUUAGACGGUGGAAGCGUUCAACUCCGAACACACACACACACACACACGCUCUCACACGCACUCACACGCGCUCGGCGUUUGGAGCGAGUUUAUCUGUAGUAUUAAUCAGUCCGGCCGGGAGAUAAAGCGACCCUUUCAUCCAGAGACGCUCAUGGCUGAGACAGGAGCCGGUGCCGCUGGGGUCUGAACUCGCACCCUUGUGAUCAGUAAAAGAAAGACGGGGAGAUGGUGAAAGUCCUGUGUGGCGCUACUUAAUAAUUAGCAUAACAGCACAGUGCCGAGUUCUGGAUUGUGAUUGGUCAGAAGGUAUUGAUUCAUUUUCUAUAAAACGUAUAUUUUAUAUGAACAUGCUCGUUCUGAUACGUUAUGGUUUCUGUAGUGACUGCUCAUUCACAGGGACAUGUACAGCGCGUGUGUGUGUGUGUGUGUGUGUGUGUGUGUGUGUGUGUGCGUGUUGUAUCAGAUUCUGUAGCUGUUGUUUUAGGGAUUUGGUUUCCAAAUAGCCUGCAGACAGAACGUGUCAUCACCUCCACCUCCACCUCCACCAUUACAUUACACACACUCACCUCCACCUGUUCAUUUAAUCCCCACACACAGCUCCUCCGCCGUGAGGAAACAAAACCUGGCUGUGAUGCCGCUUUAAACACACCCUAAACACAAUGCUCCACAUCACUCCCUGUUCACUCGGACCGCCGCAGAGAGAUCAUCCCUGAGGAGGAGGAUCGAGAUCCGUGUAAUGAUCGUGUAACGCACGUGGAUGACGCGACUACGACAGGAGUACUCCACACGUCCUAAUUCCAUCUGUGUUCACUUCAAGUAUGACUUUAAUCAGAUUAAGGUCCUCGAUAAUCUCCGUUUACAUGCUAGAUUCUUAAUCAGAGUAUCGUCUUAACCGGGGUGACAUCGGAUUCUUGUCGUCCGUGUAAACGCACCGACUGUCAACGCAAAUGGAAGUAAGACGCGUGGAGUGUUCCUGUGUUAGUCGCAUUAUCCACGUGCGUCAUGUACACACCUUAAUCACACUGCUAAUGCCGUGUGGGAGUUUUCACCACAUUUUGCAACAAGACACGUGUAUACACACACACACACACACACACACACACACACACACACACACACUGCAGCGCUCAACCGGUUGACGGCAAACAAGAGAGCAUGGCUUCAAGCAAGAAGGUACGUUUAACUCUGAGUUUGUGGCGGUGACGGGAAGGAAGCGGUGCUGAAGGAGGAAUGUUGCUGGAGGGUUUGUAUCCGCAGUCGUCCAUCUGCACGCACAGCACGACUACCGAUGAACCGCACUUGAAGCUUUCGUAAAAUUAAAAAUGAAACCGUAACACAGACGUCACGUGAGAUUCUGGGGGGGACGGCGUGGCGUGGGGACGUAAUGAGGUGGCGACUCGUGUAAACACCUUAAUCAGAAUACUGUCUCAUUCUUAUUCAUCUGUUCAUCUGUAGAUGGAGGACGGUGUUUGUGUUAAACAUUAAACAGGUGCAAUUUGUAGAUCUGGUCUCUGGACACACACACACACACACACACACACACACACACACACACACGUCUUCGCGUUAGUGCCUGAAUUUCUGACUCGAUCACGCCGGUUCUCAUGAGGCUGGAACAAAAGAAAGAAGAGGAGGAAGAAGAAGAGGGCCGCUUUUCUGUGCUUGGGUGUUAUUUUUAGUUCGUCUGUUCCCCUGCCUGCUAACACACUUUCACUCGGCAUGAACAUGGAGUCAGCUCUCCACAGGUGAUUAGAUAAAUAAAUGUAAAUCUCCAGAACACAUCACAUUCCUUCAGAUCUACAGCUCCAUCCCACAACCCGUUCACACGGCGUGUUCGAUUCGCUUCCCGCAGUGAGUCGAUUCAGUGUCGAUUCACUCUCUCUCACUGGGACGCAGCCCGAUGCCACCCCGGUCUAGACCCGCGUGUGUACGCUGUGUUCUCACCUGCCUAAAGAAGCGCACAGGGGAGGAGAACACACCCCACCGCGCCUGUGAAAGCCGUUAAAAUGUUUGGUUUUACUCGAGUGUGGUAGAACGGAAUCUCAAAAUGGAGGACGGGGAAACUUGAGCUUGUUUAACUGACUGUAAACGGGUUAAUUAGUGUUGGUUCUAGCAGCCUGGCUCAGAGCGCUACAGCUUCAGCACGGAUCAGGAUCCGGAUCAGCGCCCCGAGAGAGGCGGCUUUAACAAACACUAAUUAAUCCGAGAGAGGAAGAUGAGACGAGCUCAGGUUAAAGCGGAUAAGAGUCUGUGGUGAUGAGAGCUGAUGGAUA
ensembl:lncRNA